GAUGAACGCUGGCGGCGUGCCUAAUACAUGCAAGUCGAACGAGGUGCUUGAGUAGCAAUACAAGAGUAUCCUAGUGGCGAACGGGUGAGUAACGCGUUGGUGACCUACCCCAAAGUGUGGGAUAACAGUCCGAAAGGAUUGCUAAUACCGCAUGUGGUUAUCAGGUUUAGAAACUGAUAACUAAAGGAGCAAUUCGCUUUGGGAGGGACCUGCGUCCCAUCAGCUAGUUGGUGAGGUAAUGGCUCACCAAGGCUACGACGGGUAGGGGACCUGAGAGGGUGGCCCCCCACAAUGGAACUGAAACACGGUCCAUACACCUACGGGUGGCAGCAGUAGGGAAUAUUGCACAAUGGGCGAAAGCCUGAUGCAGCAACGCCGCGUGUGCGAUGAAGGCCUUCGGUCGUAAAGCACUUUCUGAGAGAUGAGCAAGGACAGUAUCUCAGGAAUAAGUACUCGGCUAACUACGUGCCAGCAG
rnacentral:rRNA from 1 species